AGGGGGAGCCGCGGCUCCGUUGGGUGAGCUGCUGAUGGGCAGGCCAGCUCCGUGACGCCCAGUGCGGUUUUCAGGUUGGCCGCACUGGCACUGGUUCCUGUAACAACGGUUCCUGUUCCUCCCCCCCGCCCCGGUUUUUGUUAAACUGAAUCUGAAGCCACUUCUGUGCUGUGCAAAAGCCAUGAAGGGUGAAGACUGCGUGGAGAUAGCACAGUCUCUGUAAGACUUGAGGUUGCCAGCUGGGGAAACUGAGCCAAGGGUGAAAAGUGCAUGGUGAGGAAGACCUCUUACUUCAUCCAGAAGACCCCAGCCUAAGACCACCAGAUGGCAGUGCGCAGGCAUAGAGGGGAGGGGAAUGGUAUUAAUGAGUUCUUGGAACUAAUUGUAAUAAUCUCCUUCUAUACUUGUAAAAUCUGAUGAAUAUGUAUGUUUGUAUAUAAUAAAUAUCUAGCUUGUU